rnacentral:misc_RNA from 1 species
UCUCAGAGAACUAAAAUUGCUAAUUUAUUAUAACAGGUAAAUAAAGCACCACAAUUAUAGAAUAUAUCACUAUUUUAUUCUUGGUAAUUUUCUUAAUCACCUCAGCGAACUACAGAUGCAAUUGUAAAAAGGAAACAAAAGAACUCACAUAAUAAUCCAUAAGUGCAUCAGAAAUAAUGCCUAGAACCUCAGCCUUGCACAAAAUACAUCACUUGAAAUCUACUAAAUCAUGGUGUAGCAUAACUAACAAGUAACCUUGCAUUUAUUGUUCACAAACAUUGCUAUUCUGUUUUGUGAUGCAAGUAUAAGCCAAUGCAUUUCUCACUCUCUUUUUCUUUUCAAGGUAAGCAUGGUUCUUUAUUUUGAACUGGUUUCAAAACUAAGGAUAAAUCUGAGAAGUGGAUUUGUUCCUAUAGAUGAGGUAUAUAUAGCUUAUGGGAAACUGGCCAGCUUUAUGAAGUCUACAUAACUAAAAGUAGUCUCACAUUGUUUGCUAACAAAGCUAUUAUGGUUUCUCAUACAAGCAUAUAGAGCAGAUGCAAUUUCGACUGUCAUCUUUUUUCUUUUU